GUCCACGCCCUAAACGAUGCGAACUGGACGUUGGGAGCAAUCAGGCUCUCAGUGUCGAAGCUAACGCGUUAAGUUCGCCGCCUGGGGAGUACGGUCGCAAGACUGAAACUCAAAGGAAUUGACGGGGGCCCGCACAAGCGGUGGAGUAUGUGGUUUAAUUCGAUGCAACGCGAAGAACCUUACCUGGCCUUGACAUCCACGGAAUCUUUGAGAGAUCAGAGAGUGCCUUCGGGAACCGUGAGACAGGUGCUGCAUGGCUGUCGU
rnacentral:rRNA from 1 species